CAGGGAGACAACAAAAUGUUUAAUAUUAUUAUUUUGUCACCUUAGGUCGAUCGGUAUCUCACGUUUUUAAUUUAUUAAAAAUUUCAUUUCCUAAGUUUUUCUAGGUCACACCCAUUAUUUUUCCUGGGCCAUUAGCUCAGGUGGUUAGAGCGCACCCCUGAUAAGGGUGAGGUCCCUGGUUCAAGUCCAGGAUGGCCCAUAUCUCUAUGUUGGGGGUAUAGCUCAGUUGGUAGAGCGCCUGCUUUGCAAGCAGGAUGUCAGCGGUUCGAGUCCGCUUACCUCCACUGAUUACCACCUCUUCCAUAAACGGUAGAAAGGAAAUGUUUUGAGUUGUGAUCAAAUUCUGAAAGAAUCUAGCUUCCUAAUGAAAUCAUUAAGAUGCUGGACUCAUUGAAUUAAUUUCAUUGUUUUCAGAGAACCUUGACAACUGCAUAGAUUAUUUUUAAAGACAAUAAGCAUCUUUAAUGAUGCAGAUUUAUUAUUUGUGCGAAUGCAUUAAUAACAAUUCUAUUAAGCUGAUGCUUCAAUUUUUGAAGUUAUU
rnacentral:tRNA from 1 species